rnacentral:lncRNA from 1 species
CCUACAAUUUAAGAAUUGUUUUCUGCUCCAGCCCCAGCCGCCAUUGCUCCAGUGCCGCCGGGAGACAGCCUGGGCCCCGAUCCACUGCGGGAAGGAGGGCCACGCCUGCUCUGGCCCCAGCCGCCAUCGCUCCAGUGCCAGAAGGUAUUUUCCAUCUGUAGUUGACCAUGAAUGCAGAACUGAUAGACAGCUGACCGUAAUCACACCAUCCAAAGGUCACAAGUGAGACUCGUGCUUUAAAAGAAGGAGAAUGGACAACCAAAAUACUUUAGCUCAGUUCUCAAUGGAGCCUGUUUAACAAAUACCAGGAGGAAUCGGAAAAAUCCAGCCUUAUCCCCUGCAAGUCUUCAAGUCCACACGACACAGAGGUGUGCAGAGCAGUGAGUAAGAGAAUGAGCUGUGCAGUUAACUGGCCUGGCUUCCAAUUCC